rnacentral:lncRNA from 1 species
AAUGCUAAAAUUGUGAAGAUUUAAGUUAUUUAACAUGACUUAAUGAUACUAGUACUCGAUAUAUGUGCAUUGUAUUGUCAAAAACAGACCAUAUUUAUGUAGCUGAAGCAUUCUACUUUCCAAUAAAUAAUUAAAAGGUUAACAUUUUGACAAUUUUGUAAAACUGCUAUUUGUUGGGGCCAAAAAGGGGUCUUACUUCACCUACUCCUUUGACUGAUCCUGUCGAAGAUCUCUAAACA